CGGACAUCUGACGGCAACUUUGGAUGGAUGCAAGCAUGCGCAAAAUAUGGAGAAAAACAAAACAAAAUAAAACGAAAAGGUGGCGCUGAGAAGCUCAGGGACAAAAAGAGAAAAUCCCUUCAUGACCGGCAAAUUAAAUAUAACCCAGAUGUGGACAGAGAAGUGAAUCCCAGACUUGUUACGGCCUGCAUGUGUUCCAGAGGGGACCCGGAGAGGACUGUGAUCCACAUUGUGGAUGGUCGUGAACAUUUUAACACAA